GAAGUACCAACGCGAAACGCGCUGCUCCGCCAUGGGCACCGCUUCUGCCAGAAGCCGCGCCCCCACCGGGAUAACACCACGCCUCCGGGUUUGGUAUUUUCAUGUUUGCUUGGGACCAAUAAUAGAUGAACAACUUCCAGAGGAAUCACACUGACAGUCAGGGAAUUAUCCCCAUGAGACAGCCAAACUUGUAUCUGUGCCACUGACCUUCUCUGCUGGCUUUGCAAUGCAGCAACAAGAAUGGGUCAGAAAAUUAUCUGCAAACAUUUCUGCUCUCCUGGGCUACAGCAGGAGCAAACACUGCAAUGCUCAAUGUUGCAACUGGAAUACUGGCAAGUGCUACUAUUGACCCCAAGAUAUGAAAGAAUCACACUGGAGAUGUGCAUCAGCUUCAUCACCCAACAUGCUGAGGCCACAUCCAAGGUCAAGGACCUGAGCUCAGACACUGCCCAGGGCUGAAACCCGUCUCCUCCAAGGAAAGAAGCAGCACCACCUAUAAAAUGAAGGGCCCUGAAAAGAGCUGGAAGCCUGGAUUGCAAGAUGUGUGAAUUACAGAGGCUCAUUUAACUUCAGAAAUACAUGGCUUUGGGAAAGACAAGCCAAACCCAGCUGUAGCAAGGGAUGCUGGCUACUCCUGAGCUCUGCAAGAAAGCUCAAGCAUGGCAGCUCCCAGGUUUGGAGAAGUUGAGGCUGGCAUGGAUAUCUCUGGGUUCUUUGCUCUGAGCCUCCUCCUUCAUCCCCCUGCUUCUGACAACGGAAAAUGCCAGAUGAAGGUGCAACCAAAUCCUGCUCCCCAUAUCUCUGCACAGAGAUGCACACAGGCAGGCUGUGCUUCUGAACGCACAAAUCGAGGCUUCCCUCUGAACAGAGAGCUGAGGCUGCUGGACUUGGGGGAGAAACACCAGAGCCUGGGGCAGCGCCUCCUCACCUGCACGAGGUUCACUCCAGGCACGAAGUUUUUCACCUCCUUGAUCAGCUUCACCUUGUCAGAGGCCUUCAGCUCUGUCAGCCGGACGGUGAAAUGAGUUUUCUCUUUCUUGAGCGGGACCACCUCCUCCUCCUCCUGGAAGCAGCCGGAGCACGGUGAAGCCCCGCGGCCGAGCCCGCCCCCGCGCGUACGGUUCCCGGGGCCCCGCUCCCGCCCCUCCCGGAGCGCCCGGUACCUGCGGAGCCGCCUGGGCGGGCAGCAGGGAGGCGGCGGCCGCCGCGGGCAUCACCGCCGCGUCCGGGAUCUUCAGCGUCUCCUGAGGGAAGAGCAGCGGCAGCAGCGGCCGGUCAGGCGGCGCACGCGGCCGGGCCGGGCCGGGAUGAGCCGGGACGAGCCGGGUCAGGCCCCGCACCCACCUUGAGCAGCGCGUUGAGAUCGGCCACCUCCAGCAGCGUCAGCCCCGCGAUGUCCCGCACCAGCUGCCGCACCUUGGGCGAGUACUCCUUGGCGGCCGUGUCCAGCGGCGCUCCGGCCAGCGCCUCCGAGC